UGACUUUGGUAAGUUGCAAUAUGCUCAAAAAAGAUGGGCGAACCCGCCUAAUAGGUCCUCGUUUCUCGUUUUAGAGCCAAUUGGGCUCUUCAAGAAAAAUCUGUGAGUUUGCUUUGGUCGUUCUCGUGAACCUCGAGGG
ensembl:ncRNA F46C8.18 ncRNA